AGAUUGAACGCUGGCGGCAGGCCUAACACAUGCAAGUCGAGCGGUAGAGAGGUGCUUGCACCUCUUGAGAGCGGCGGACGGGUGAGUAAUGCCUAGGAAUCUGCCUAGUGGUGGGGGAUAACGUUCGGAAACGGACGCUAAUACCGCAUACGUCCUACGGGAGAAAGCGGGGGACCUUCGGGCCUCGCGCCAUUAGAUGAGCCUAGGUCGGAUUAGCUAGUUGGUGAGGUAAUGGCUCACCAAGGCGACGAUCCGUAACUGGUCUGAGAGGAUGAUCAGUCACACUGGAACUGAGACACGGUCCAGACCGUCCGUACGGGAGGCCAGGCAGGUAGGGGUAAUAGUUGGACAAGUGGGACGAAAGCCGUGACUCCAGCCAGUCGACCGG
rnacentral:rRNA from 1 species